CCUACGGGAGGCAGCAGUGAGGAAUAUUGGUCAAUGGGCGGAAGCCUGAACCAGCCAAGUAGCGUGCGGGAUGAAGGCCCUACGGGUCGUAAACCGCUUUGCACGGGGAUAACACCCUCCACUUGUGGAGGUCUGCAGGUACCGUGCGAAUAAGGGCCGGCUAAUUCCGUGCCAGCAGCCGCGGUAAUACGGAAGGCCCGAGCGUUAUCCGGAUUCAUUGGGCUUAAAGGGUGCGCAGGCGGGCCUUUAAGCCGGCGGUGAAAUCGCGGGGCUCAACCCCGCCGAGCCGUCGGAACUGGGGGCCUUGAGUGCGGCGGAGGCAUGCGGAAUGCGCGGUGUAGCGGUGAAAUGCAUAGAUAUCGCGCAGAACCCCGAUUGCGAAGGCAGCGUGCCGUGCCGCCACUGACGCUGAGGCACGAAAGCGCGGGGAUCGAACAGGAUUAGAUACCCCUGUAGUC
rnacentral:rRNA from 1 species